GUUUUCAACUUUCAACGGGUCAAUAUGACUAACAAAAAGGGUCGUCAAUUGUGGGAAAAGAGUAGUGUUUGUUUAGUUCCAAGUCCGACUUAGAAGUUAGAAGUGAUUUUGGAUCCAAAAUGUUGUUUUAUGAUGAUUUAUAAGAAAUUUGAAGAAAGAAAAUAUAGAACUUUUCCGAAAUAGGGUUAGAAUCUCCAGGGUGCAAAUAAGAUUUUGUGGGAAAAAAGUAGUGUUUGUUUAGUUCCGAGUCUGACUUAGAAGUGAUUUUGGAUCCAAUAUAUUGUUUUUAUGUCGAUAUUAGAAAUUUGAGGAAAAAAAAUGUAGAACUUUUCCGAAAUAGGGUUAGAACUCUCCGGAGUGUAAAUAAGAUUUCGUGGGAAAAGAAUAGUGUUUGUUUAGUUUCGAGUCUGACUUAGAAGUGAUUUUGGAUCCAAUAUGUUAUAUUUAUGUCGAUAUUAGAAAUUUGAGGAAAAAAAUGUAAAACUUCUCCGAAAUAGGGUUAGAACUCUCUGGGAUGCAAAUAAGAUUGUGAGGACUAACUCGAUCAAGAGAUUUUGUUAAAGGAUGAACAGAAGAAAGAUGUUGGCUUUGUUCGUUUGCCGGUCGUUGUUUGUUUGACGGUCUAUGUGUUGUUCGUUAGAGAGUUGCUUUGAUUAUAGUAAUUAUCCGUCAAAGUUUAUGUUAUUAAGUUUAAGUCAAACUUACAAAGAUUGAAUAUAUGACAUAACUUAUGU
rnacentral:sRNA from 1 species